rnacentral:piRNA from 1 species
UAAUUCAUCUAAUCGAGAUUU